rnacentral:misc_RNA from 1 species
GGGGCUGAACGCCUCUAAGUC